rnacentral:pre_miRNA from 1 species
CAUUUACUCCCUCCGUUCGGAAUUACUUGUCUCAGAAAUGGAUGUAUCUAGAACUAAAAUACGUCUAGAUACAUCCAUUUCUGCGACAAGUAAUUCCGAACGGAGGGAGUACCUA